rnacentral:tRNA from 1 species
AACAUAGAAGUAAACUUACAUUUAGUUUCGACCUAAAAAAUAGGAUAAAAAUUCCUCAUGUUU